UACGUAGGUGACAAGCGUUGUCCGGAUUUACUGGGCGUAAAGAGCGCGCAGGCGGUCGUUCAAGUCGAGUGUGAAAGCCCCCGGCUCAACUGGGGAGGGUCAUUCGAUACUGAUCGACUCGAAGGCAGGAGAGGGAAGUGGAAUUCCCGGUGUAGUGGUGAAAUGCGUAGAUAUCGAGAGGAACACCUGAGGUGAAGACGGGUUGCUGGGCCGACACUGACGCUGAGUGCGCGAAAGCCAGGGGAGCAAACGGG
rnacentral:rRNA from 1 species